GGUUCUCACAACCAAUUGAAAGAGAAUAAAACAUUCUCUUGCUUCAUAACCAAAGUGCUGCUCACACUUACAGCAACCUUUGGAAGGGGAAUCCUGGCUAUUGAUGUCCCUGGAAAGAGAGUGGUAGAAGAAAAGAAAUUGAAGACAUGGAAGAAAGAUGAAAACGCUGGCUACUAAAUACCUAUGUGUGGUUACUGAGUGUGGUAUACUUGGACACCGAGCUCCCCCACCCAUCAGAUGUCACAAAGAGUCCUCUUACUCUUGGAUAAUUUCAAAUCAAACUGACCUCCCCAGCAUGAAUGUUUCUGCAAAAGAAUGAAAGCAAAAUACUGAAGCAAAUAUCAGGCGAGAUUUUGGCUCAUGCACAGAAAGUCAAAUAUCCAUCGACCUCAGUUACCUGCAGCUCAGCGAGGAAGCCACUGAUGAUCAGCAAAAUUCCUAAGCAGCAAAAGCAGCAGCACAAAAAUUAAGAUUCCAUCAGCCACGCACUCUCUCACUUUGUCACUCUUCUUUGAACCCCAUUCAAAAAAAAAAUAAUAAGCAUUCUCAGUUCUCUUAGCCCUAAGGAACAGAUUGCAAUGUGACAAUGGAUUCUGGUGGGAAUGAUGAAGGAAAUAGAAAACUUUCAAAGGUGGACACAGGAAUUCAAAAUAUGUAUGUGAGCCAGACGUGGUAGCUCGUCUUGUAAUCCCAACAUGUUGGGAGGCCAAGUGG
rnacentral:lncRNA from 1 species